GCCCGGGUGGCGGAAUGGGCAGACGCAAGGGACUUAAAAUCCCUUGGGGUGAAAACCCCGUGCGGGUUCGACUCCCGCCCCGGGCA
rnacentral:tRNA from 1 species